rnacentral:lncRNA from 1 species
UUAUCAGUAUUCUACCAUAGACGCAUUAUUGACCUAGUUAAAAAACCAGAGGAAUCUUCUGAAAAGUCAAAAAUGACUCAGUUACUUAAGGAGUUAUUUCACUCCAUUACAAAAGAUGAAUUAAAGCAACAUCUGUCCCAAGCACUUGAAGAACUGUCAGAUGCAGCAACCACUAAGGAAAAGCCACGAGAAAAGGGAGAAUGCUCCAGGACAAAGUUCGCAAACUUUUGCUAAUGCUUCUUUUAAAUCUUCUUCUAUUGUUAACGCUUGAAUUUGCUG